rnacentral:lncRNA from 1 species
CCGUUGGUCUAGUUUGUCGAUCGUCAGGGAGCCCUUCAACUCAUCGUUUUGGGCGGAGAUCUGAAAGCAUCGGUGAGCGAGCUGUUGGUCUCCGCACAUCUCCCCGACUCCAUUUUUGAUCGGGAACCGAACCAAGAGAUGGUACGUUGAGACAAUCGCCUUAAGGGCGUUUAGUCCGGAUCUUCUAAGUAUGACGUUGUAGGCCGAAGACACUUGGACGACCGCGAAAGUCAAGUGAACCGUGCUUUGUCG